rnacentral:rRNA from 1 species
UACGUAGGGUGCAAGCGUUGUCCGGAAUUAUUGGGCGUAAAGAGCUCGUAGGCGGUUCGUCGCGUCGAAUGUGAAAACCCGGGGCUCAACCCCGGGCCUGCAUUCGAUACGGGCAGACUAGAGUUCGGUAGGGGAGUCUGGAAUUCCUGGUGUAGCGGUGAAAUGCGCAGAUAUCAGGAGGAACACCGGUGGCGAAGGCGGGACUCUGGGCCUGCACUGACGCUCAUGCACGAAAGCGUGGGGAGCAAACAGG